rnacentral:rRNA from 1 species
AUUGAACGCUGGCGGCAGGCCUAACACAUGCAAGUCGAACGAGGGGCGGACGGGUGAGUAAUGUCUGGGAAACUGCCUGAUGGCUGGGGAUAACUACUGGAAACGGUAGCUAAUACCGCAUACAAUCAGAUGUGCCCAGAUGGGAUGAGCUUGUGGGUGGGGUAACGGCUCACCAAGGCGACGAUCCCUAGCUGGUCUGAGAGGAUGACCAGCCACACGGGAACUGAGACACGGUCCAGAUGCCUACGGGAUGCAGCAGUGGGGAUUAUUGCACAAUGGGAGCAAGCCUGAUGCAGCCAUGCCGCGUGUAUGAAGAAGGCCUUCGGGUUGUAAAGUACUUGCAGCGGGGAGGCGUUACCCGCAGAAGAAGCACCGGCUAACUCCGUGCCAGCAGCCGCGGUAAUUC